UACGAAGGGGGCUAGCGUUGCUCGGAAUCACUGGGCGUAAAGGGUGCGUAGGCGGGUCUUUAAGUCAGCGGUGAAAUCCUGGAGCUCAACUCCAGAACUGCCUUUGAUACUGAAGAUCUUGAGUUCGGGAGAGGUGAGUGGAACUGCGAGUGUAGAGGUGAAAUUCGUAGAUAUUCGCAAGAACACCAGUGGCGAAGGCGGCUCACUGGCCCGAUACUGACGCUGAGGCACGAAAGCGUGGGGAGCAAACAGG
rnacentral:rRNA from 1 species